ACGAUGGGGGAUAAGCUUCAUCGUCGAGAGGGAAACAGCCCGGAUCACCAGCGAAGGCCCCAAAAUGACGGCUCAGUGAUAAAGGAGGUGGGGGUGCAAAGACAGCCAGGAGGUUUGCCUAGAAGCAGCCACCCUUUAAAGAGUGCGUAAUAGCUCACUGAUCGAGCGCCCUUGCGCUGAAGAUGAACGGGGCUAAGCGAUCUGCCGAAGCUGUG
rnacentral:ncRNA from 1 species